CACAUGCAAGUCGAACGAUGAAGCCUAGCUUGCUAGGUGGAUUAGUGGCGAACGGGUGAGUAAUACGUGAGUAACCUACCUUUAACUCUGGGAUAAGCCUGGGAAACUAGGUCUAAUACCGGAUACGACCAAUCUCCGCAUGGGGUGUUGGUGGAAAGCGUUAUGUAGUGGUUAUAGAUGGGCUCACGGCCUAUCAGCUUGUUGGUGAGGUAACGGCUCACCAAGGCGACGACGGGUAGCCGGCCUGAGAGGGUGACCGGCCACACUGGGACUGAGACACGGCCCAGACUCCUACGGGAGGCAGCAGUGGGGAAUAUUGCACAAUGGGCGCAAGCCUGAUGCAGCGACGCCGCGUGAGGGAUGACGGCCUUCGGGUUGUAAACCUCUGUUAGCAGGGAAGAAGAGAGAUUGACGGUACCUGCAGAGAAAGCGCCGGCUAACUACGUGCCAGCAGCCGCGGUAAUACGUAGGGCGCGAGCGUUGUCCGGAAUUAUUGGGCGUAAAGAGCUUGUAGGCGGUUUGUCGCGUCUGCUGUGAAAGGCCGGAGCUUAACUCCGUGUAUUGCAGUGGGUACGGGCAGACUAGAGUGCAGUAGGGGAGACUGGAAUUCCUGGUGUAGCGGUGGAAUGCGCAGAUAUCAGGAGGAACACCGAUGGCGAAGGCAGGUCUCUGGGCUGUAACUGACGCUGAGAAGCGAAAGCAUGGGGAGCGAACAGGAUUAGAUACCCUGGUAGUCCAUGCCGUAAACGUUGGGCACUAGGUGUGGGGAACAUUCCACGUUUUCCGCGCCGUAGCUAACGCAUUAAGUGCCCCGCCUGGGGAGUACGGCCGCAAGGCUAAACUCAG
rnacentral:rRNA from 1 species